rnacentral:rRNA from 1 species
CUGUGAUGCCCUUAGAUGUUCUGGGCCGCACGCGCGCUACAAUGAUGAAUUCAACAAGUCUAUAACCUUGGUUGAAAAGCCUGGGUAAUCUUUUGAACUUUCGUCGUGAUGGGGCUAGACCCUUGCAAUUAUUGGUCUCCAACGAGGAAUUCCUAGUAAACGCAAGUCAUCAGCUUGCAUUGAUUACGUCCCUGCCCUUUGUACACACCGC